ACUCCUACGGGAGGCAGCAGUGGGGAAUAUUGGACAAUGGGCGCAAGCCUGAUCCAGCCAUGCCGCGUGAGUGAUGAAGGCCCUAGGGUUGUAAAGCUCUUUCACCGGUGAAGAUAACGACGGUAACCGGAGAAGAAGCCCCGGCUAACUUCGUGCCAGCAGCCGCGGUAAUACGAAGGGGGCUAGCGUUGUUCGGAUUUACUGGGCGUAAAGCGCACGUAGGCGGACUAUUAAGUCAGGGGUGAAAUCCCGGGGCUCAACCCCGGAACUGCCUUUGAUACUGGUAGUCUUGAGUUCGAGAGAGGUGAGUGGAAUUCCGAGUGUAGAGGUGAAAUUCGUAGAUAUUCGGAGGAACACCAGUGGCGAAGGCGGCUCACUGGCUCGAUACUGACGCUGAGGUGCGAAAGCGUGGGGAGCAAACAGGAUUAGAAACCCGGGUAGUCCCA
rnacentral:rRNA from 1 species